GAUGAACGCUGGCGGCGUGCCUAAUACAUGCAAGUCGAGCGAACGGACGAUAAGCUUGCUUCUUUGAUGUUAGCGGCGGACGGGUGAGUAACACGUGGAUCACCUACUUAUAUUACUGGGAUAAUUUCGGGAAACCGGAGCUAAUACCGGAUAAUAUUUUGAACCGCAUGGUUCAAAAGUGAAUGACGGUCUUGCUGUCUCUUAUAGCUGCAUCCGGGCUGAGUUAGCUAGUUGGUAAGGUAACGGCUUACCAAGGCAACGAUGCAUAGCCGACCUGAGAGGGGGAUCGGCCACACUGGAACUGAGACACGGCCCAGACUCCUACGGGAGGCAGAGGUAGGUAAUCUUGCGAAAUGGGCGAAAGCCUGACGAAGCAACGCCGCGUGGGUGAUGAAGGUCUUCGGAUCGGAAAACUCUGUUAUUGGGGAAGAACAUAUGUGUAUGUAACUGUGCACAUCUGGGGGGAACCUAAUCAGAAGGACACGGCUACUUCCGU
rnacentral:rRNA from 1 species